ACGCUCGACACCUACGGCAGGCAGCAGUGGGGAAUAUUGCACAAUGGGGGGAACCCUGAUGCAGCGACGCCGCGUGAGUGAAGAAGUACUUCGGUAUGUAAAGCUCUAUCAGCAGGGAAGAAAAUGACGGUACCUGACUAAGAAGCCCCGGCUAACUACGUGCCCGCAGCCGCGGUAAUCUGAGCGGGCUGGCAAGGC
rnacentral:rRNA from 1 species